CACUGGGAGGACCUGGGAUCUAUGCUGCGGGUGGCUGCCUCCAGGAUGGCCCCCUUGCACGUGUGUUGUAGCUCAAUUUCUGCCUCUGUCUCCUAGAUGGACUUUGGACCCAGAUUGUAGCUGUGCCUCCAGCCUUGUCUUUGGUUCCAGCACCUGCUGCUCCUGACAGGACUCUCUGCUUGGAGCCUGGACUUAGUUCACUUCUGAAUCUGUGGCAGCUGAUGGGCCCUUUUACCAGCACCCAGCUCUACUUGCCAAGUUGACAUCUUGUGGGACAGCACACUGUUGAGAAACCGCGCACUGCUGACUGACAUCAAUAAGGAGGAUUCUGCAUGACCUGUUUCUGUGCUCCCAGAGUCCUGUGUUUUUCUGGGAUGUGUGGCUGGAAAGCUGAGACCACAGCACAGCUGCAGUAGUUAUGAAUGAUGGAUGAAGACUGGAAUAGAAAGGAGAUUUUUUCUUUAAUGCUUUUAAUAUAAUUCGUUAUUCUCUAAGUCUGGCCUUGCAGCUUUCCAGGUGUAUGUUAUAAAGAUAAGGACACACUUGCAGCCACAGGACUCGCUUAAAGGUUGUAAGGUCUGACACAUCUGAACCAGUCAUGGAGGCCUCCUAUCCAUGUGAAUGUACACUUCUCCUUCCUAGAUAUUAAUCACUGCAUAAGGUGUGUAGCAUAGCACUGUGGAAUGCAAAUUUCUUUCAAACUAAGAUUUUUCUAACUGACUGGUGGAACAGUCAUGAAUGUUCAUCUGUAAAAAUGUGAAAAUCUGCUGGUCUCUAAGUUAUUUGGAAAGAAAAUAACAGAAAAGGCUAAAGGGUGGAUAUAGAGUCACCUUUCCUUGAUCUCUGGGGAGAGGAGGGAGGGGUACUUUAUUUUGAAAAACAUUCUUGCAGGCUAUCAGUCUUUUGCAUAUUCAGUACCAGUGGAAACCAAAUUCAAAUCUGGUAUAGUCCAAAUAAUUUUAUUUUCAGAGUUGCUCCUUUCAACAGCUGUGUUUUUGAUCCAGAAGCAUAGAAUGCAUCAAUUUAACUGAAGCAGCUACUGUCCUUUGCUUUAGCCUCACCAGAUUUUUUAUGCUCAGUAAUUUCCUUAUACAUUUUAGCAAGUCAAAUGUACGCUCUCUUUCUAUGCCCAUUCCCAAUUUGUUUAUUUUCAAUGGAAGCAGAUGCACAUUAGAACCACAGUUUUGGGUAAUAUGCUACUAUGUGCCAAAUUACAGUGAUAUCCCCAACGCUUUGUACAACACUCCAGCAGCGCAAAAAUGGUUGAUUGCUACCUGUUGUCUUACCAAACACUGGAGUAAUUAUUACAGUGAUGCAUAUUGCUACCUUGAAACUGUUUGGAACAGAUUUUACAUGUGAGUAUUCUUCACCAAGUAGCACACUAAGCUAGAGAGCUGUAAACUGCAGACCUGAAUCAAUACCGUAUCUAGCAACAAAGUACAAAACAUAAAUGGAAGAAAAUGCAUGCCAUACACUGACAAAUGGCAAUGAAUAUGAUGAACAAAAAGAAAAAGAAUAAAUUAGCACUUCUCUUUCUCUGCCUCAGUGUCCCAGAAAACUGUAUAUAGAUGAUAGCUUUACAUAGUACUGAACUGUUGCAGCUGCUAAUCUUUUUUUCUGUCAGAAGAGCUAGUCCCAUUUUAUGCUCUAUUUUCACUUCUUUUUUGUAGAGUUCCAAAACCCAACAUUAUAUUUUUUAUGAACAUUUCCACUGAGUGUCUACACUUCUGAAAAUAUUAUUGUAAUUCUAAAUUUAUAAUUCAUCUUUUAAAAAAGAGAAGCAGGGUUCUAUGGCAAUUCAAAAUUGCCUUUCCUUAUUAAGCUAUUCUGGUGUCAGUGCAGUUCGUAUCACUAGGUCUGCAGUCAUCACAGAUCAUGGUUGAUAUCCAAAAGGAUGUUAAAAAUGUGAAUACGGUCAGAGAAUUUUCUUCAUUUCCACAGUUAAAGCACAUUAAAAUACUUCUCAGUUUCAGAUUACUUUCUAAAGCAAUGGUCUUUUGCAGAAAUUCCUUGGAGUUUCAGAGAUUUUGAUUUGACCGGGUCAGUGGGCACUCAUAACUUUUGCGUAUUCUCUGUGUUAAAAAAACAAACAAACAAACAAAAAAAACCUGUGUUGAAAACAUCUUUUAUUUUUGAAAAAAUAAAUGUAGGGGCUUUUCACCUUUUCUCCCUUAGGCCCAUAAACAAAAACAAAAUGAAAUUUUUCCUGCAGGAAAGCUGUAUUUCAUAUCCAUUGAAGUAAUGCUAAACCUCAGUUCGUUUAACAGCUUGAAUUACCUUUUAUUUGGUAUAAGUUUGAGAUUAGUUUUUGACAUAAUCAGAUGUAAAAAAUAUAUGCAGAUGUUCAGGCAGUAUUGGAUCUCAUGAAAAGCCCUCAAAAUUAAUCCAUUAUUUGUGUAGAGAUUCUCUUUCAUGAAUCACAGUGUUGAGGUACUCCCUCCCAUCUUCCUUGGUGCUAGCA